CUAUGGACUCGUUGGUGACCAGCGGAGGGAUCAUUACCGAGUUAUACAACUCAUCAACCCUGUGAACAUACCUAUAACGUUGCCUCGGCGGGAACAGACGGCCCCGUAACACGGGCCGCCCCCGCCAGAGGACCCCCUAACUCUGUUUCUAUAAUGUUUCUUCUGAGUAAACAAGCAAAUAAAUUAAAACUUUCAACAACGGAUCUCUUGGCUCUGGCAUCGAUGAAGAACGCAGCGAAAUGCGAUAAGUAAUGUGAAUUGCAGAAUUCAGUGAAUCAUCGAAUCUUUGAACGCACAUUGCGCCCGCCAGUAUUCUGGCGGGCAUGCCUGUUCGAGCGUCAUUACAACCCUCAGGCCCCCGGGCCUGGCGUUGGGGAUCGGCGGAAGCCCCCUGCGGGCACAACGCCGUCCCCCAAAUACAGUGGCGGUCCCGCCGCAGCUUCCAUUGCGUAGUAGCUAACACCUCGCAACUGGAGAGCGGCGCGGCCACGCCGUAAAACACCCAACUUCUGAAUGUUGACCUCGAAUCAGGUAGGAAUACCCGCUGAACUUAAGCAUAUCAAUAAGACGGAGGA
rnacentral:misc_RNA from 1 species